rnacentral:rRNA from 1 species
CCUACGGGCGGCAGCAGUGGGGGAUAUUGCACAAUGGGGGAAACCCUGAUGCAGCGACGCCGCGUGUGGGAAGACGGUCUUCUGGAUUGUAAACCACUGUCCCCAGGGACGAAAAUGACGGUACCUGGGGAGGAAGCUCCGGCUAACUACGUGCCAGCAGCCGCGGUAAUACGUAGGGAGCAAGCGUUGUCCGGAAUUACUGGGUGUAAAGGGAGCGUAGGCGGGGAUGCAAGUUGGGUGUCAAAACUACCGGCUCAACAGAUAGUCGCACUCAAAACUGCAACUCUUGAGUGAAGUAGAGGCAGGCGGAAUUCCUAGUGUAGCGGUGAAAUGCGUAGAUAUUAGGAGGAACACCAGUGGCGAAGGCGGCCUGCUGGGCUUUUACUGACGCUGAGGCUCGAAAGUGUGGGGAGCAAACAGGAUUAGAUACCCUGGUAGUC